UACGUAGGGGGCUAGCGUUGUCCGGAAUCAUUGGGCGUAAAGAGCGUGUAGGCGGCCCGGUAAGUCCGCUGUGAAAGUCGGGGGCUCAACCCUCGGAUGCCGGUGGAUACUGUCGGGCUCGAGUACGGAAGAGGCGAGUGGAAUUCCUGGUGUAGCGGUGAAAUGCGCAGAUAUCAAGGAGGAACACCUAUUGCGAAGGCAGCUCGCUGGGACGUUAACUGACGCUGGAGACGCGAAAGCGUGGGGAGCAAACAGG
rnacentral:rRNA from 1 species